UAGGAAUCUUGCGCAAUGGGAGAAAUCCUGACGCAGCGAUGCCGCGUGAGUGAAGAAGGCCUUCGGGUUGUAAAGCUCUUUUAGUUGGGAAAAAAUAAAUGAUGGUACUAACAGAAAAAGCACCGGCAAACUCCGUGCCAGCAGCCGCGGUGAUACGGAGGGUGCAAGCGUUACUCGGAAUUAUUGGGCGUAAAGGGCGCGUAGGCGGCCUGUUAAGUCUAGUGUGAAAUCCCCGGACUCAAUUCGGGAACUGCACUGGAUACUGGCGGGCUAGAGUUCAGGAGGGGAGAGCGGAAUUCCUGGUGUAGAGGUGAAAUUCGCAGAUAUCAGGAGGAACAACAGUGGCGAAGGCGGCUCUCUAGACUGAUACUGACGCUGAGGCGCGAAAGCGUGGGGAGCAAAC
rnacentral:rRNA from 1 species